ensembl:lncRNA
CUUAAAUUGUGUUCCGAAGACGAACGGAGCUUUUAUGGGUUUGGAACGACAUGGGGGUAAGUGAUUAAUGACAAAAUUUUCAUUUUGGGGUGGAGUAUCCCUUUAACGGUUAAUGCAUCCAAUAAAGGGAAGCCACAAGGAAAUAGCUGUUACUAUGUAUAUAAUGCAAACCUUUUAUGUUACAGCAUGUGCCAAACACCAGAUAACCUUCUUUACAGUAGCAAACUAUGUUGUAAAAUAGCUCUGACCCUUUAGGAAUUGAUAUUAUAAACUUUUUUUUUUUUUCUUUUUGUACCUUUCUUAAACAUCAAUGCCGUUUUCUUUUAUGCCAUGCUGACUAUUUAUAAAAUAAUUUGUUUAUGUGUGUGUAUUCCUAAAUGCCAUUAAUCUGAAUGUUUUGUUCAGGGCCUUUCAUACACAUGGUCAUUUUUAAUGUGGGGUUCACCUAGCCAAAAGCAUGAUCCGGUCAGUUCUGACUGGUUAUGUGCCCGUCCCCUCUGCAUGACCAUCAGCCCUUGAGUUUUCCCUGACCGACAGUGUCUUUUAACAGUUUAGAUAAUCGAUAUCAAACUGAGUUAAACCAGUAUAUGUCCCAGUCGUUUUAUUUUUCACCUUGUUAUGCUGGAAAACUUGGGUUGUCGUAAAGUAUCAGUGUUUGCACCCUUUUGUAUUGUAUAUAAUCAGCAAUGCUUUAAGACUGUCGCAUCAUGAUAAGAAUUUGUUACAAAGACAGCAUUAGUGUAUAGAAUGGAAUCACACAGUGGUGUGCUUUUAGUUGGGUUUAAGAUGAGAUGAGAGGCCAUCAGUGUUAUAUUUAUGAACAAAAUCCAAAUUGAAUCAAGUUUUGCAUUUUUCUGUAUUUUUGUUUCCCCACAUCUUGUACUGUAUACCAUCUUUCCUUGAAGCGGUUUAAGCUGCUGUUGUUCCAAGAACGCAGAACCAGAGCCCAUGGCAGAUGGUAGAUUUUAGUAGCUUCUCAUGUACAGUGCAUAUUCGCUGUUAUAUACAAAGAGUUUUAGGACACACAACUCUUGGCUGUUCACAGUAAAGACAAGG